rnacentral:hammerhead_ribozyme from 1 species
GUUCAGAUGACGAGUCCCAAAUAGGACGAAAUGUGCAUCCUGAAU